GAUGAACGCUGGCGGCGUGCCUAAUACAUGCAAGUCGAGCGAACAGACGAGGAGCUUGCUCCUCUGACGUUAGCGGCGGACGGGUGAGUAACACGUGGAUAACCUACCUAUAAGACUGGGAUAACUUCGGGAAACCGGAGCUAAUACCGGAUAACAUGUUGAACCGCAUGGUUCAACAGUGAAAGACGGUCUUGCUGUCACUUAUAGAUGGAUCCGCGCCGCAUUAGCUAGUUGGUAAGGUAACGGCUUACCAAGGCAACGAUGCGUAGCCGACCUGAGAGGGUGAUAGGCCACACUGGAAGUGAGACACGGUCCAGACUCCUACGGGAGGCAGCAGAAGGGAAUCUUCCGCAAUGGGCGAAAGCCUGACGGAGCAACGCCGCGUGAGUGAAGAAGGUCUUCGGAUCGUAAAACUCUGUUAUUAGGGAAGAACAAAUGUGUAAGUAACUAUGCACGUCUUGACGGUACCUAAUCAGAAAGCCACGGCUAACUACGUG
rnacentral:rRNA from 1 species